rnacentral:rRNA from 1 species
GACGAACGCUGGCGGCGUGCCUAAUACAUGCAAGUCGAACGCAGUGGGGACGGGUUGGUAACACGUGGGUAACCUCCCAUCAGAGGGGAUAACACUUGGAAACAGGUGCUAAUCCGAUACUGAUGGAUGGACCCUCGGUGCAUUAGCUAGUUGGUGAGGUAACGGCUCACCAAGGCCACGAUGACUAGACGACCUGAGAGGGUGAUCGGCCACACUUGGACUGAGAAACGGCCCAGACUCCUACGGGAGGCAGCAGUAGGGAAUCUUCGGCAAUGGACGAAAGUCUGACCGAGCAACGCCGCGUGAGUGAAGAAGGUUUUCGGAUCGUAAAACUCUGUUGUUAGAGAAGCGGUAUCUAACCAGAAAGCCACGGCUAACUACGUGCCAGCCGCCGCGGUAAUAC